CAGUGACCUUCUCGCUCCCAUCAUCCCUUGGGCCACAGUUUCUAAAGCAGCCCCACAAACACUCACCUGAUUUCGGCGUCAGACCUAUGAGGCAGAGUCUCCCACCUGGACUGUUACCAUUGCCUCCUAACUGACCUUCCUACUUGCAUGCCUGUCAUCAUCUGCCCAUUUUCAACAUGCCUUCCAGAAGACAAAAUCUAUACUUAUCAGCUGAAGUUUGCAUAAAAUGCUCCAGUGCCUUCCACUUGCACCCAGGAUUCAAUCCAAAGCCCCUCCCAGGGCUGCCCAGGCUGUUUCCCCAACCUCCUUAGGGCCAUCUCCUCCUGGCUCCUACCCUCCUUGGCCCACUGCUGCCCCCGGAUCACACCCAGCUCCUCCCAGGACCUCAGCCCUGGCUGCUCCAGACCUUCCACUUGGUCCCUUGCCUUCUGUCAGUUCCCAAAGGUCAUCUUCCCAGAGAGACCCUCCCUGACCCUGGGUAAACUGCGUCUCCCUAUGCUGCUCCAGCCAGCACCCUGUUGACUCCCCUCACAAUGCUAACAAGCAUCUGCA
rnacentral:lncRNA from 10 species